GAUGAAGAACGUAGCGAAAUGCGAUAAGUAAUGUGAAUUGCAGAAUUCAGUGAAUCAUCGGAUCUUUGAACGCACAUUGCGCCCCUUGGUAUUCCGAGGGGCAUGCCUGUUCGAGCGUCAUUAUAACCCCUCAAGCUCAGCUUGGUGUUGGGGCCUGCUGCACUGGCAGCCCUUAAAAUCAGUGGCGGCGCCAUCUGGCUCUAAGCGUAGUAAUUCUUCUCGCUAUGGAGUCCUGGUGGAUGCUUGCCAUCAACCCCCAAUUUUUCUAUGGUUGACCUCGGAUCAGGUAGGGAUACCCGCUGAACUUAAGCAUAUCAAUAAGCAGAGGA
rnacentral:misc_RNA from 1 species